rnacentral:rRNA from 1 species
UACGGAGGAUCCAAGCGUUAUCCGGAAUUACUGGGCGUAAAGAGUUGCGUAGGUGGCAUUGUAAGUAGAUAGUGAAAGCGUUCGGCUCAACCGGAUAUACAUUAUCUAAACUGCAAAGCUAGAGGACGAGAGAGGUUAUUGGAAUUCCCUGUGUAGGAGUGAAAUCCGUAGAUAUAGGGAGGAACACCGAUGGCGUAGGCAGAUAACUGGCUCGUUCCUGACACUAAGGCACGAAAGCGUGGGUAGCAAACGGG